rnacentral:rRNA from 1 species
GACGAACGUUGGCGGCGUGCUUAACACAUGCAAGUCGAACGGAAAGGCCCUGCUUUUGUGGGGUGCUCGAGUGGCGAACGGGUGAGUAACACGUGAGUAACCUGCCCUUGACUUUGGGAUAACUUCAGGAAACUGGGGCUAAUACCGGAUAGGAGCUCCUGCUGCAUGGUGGGGGUUGGAAAGUUUCGGCGGUUGGGGAUGGACUCGCGGCUUAUCAGCUUGCUGGUGGGGUAGUGGCUUACCAAGGCUUUGACGGGUAGCCGGCCUGAGAGGGUGACCGGCCACAUUGGGACUGAGAUACGGCCCAGACUCCUACGGGAGGCAGCAGUGGGGAAUAUUGCACAAUGGGCGGAAGCCUGAUGCAGCAACGCCGCGUGCGGGAUGACGGCCUUCGGGUUGUAAACCGCUUUCGCCUGUGACGAAGCGUGAGUGACGGUAAUGGGUAAAGAAGCACCGGCUAACUACGUG